rnacentral:tRNA from 1 species
GGCUUGCUGGUCUAGUGGUAUGAUUCUCGCUUUGGGUGCGAGAGGUCACGGGUUCGGUUCCCGUGCAAGCCC